rnacentral:rRNA from 1 species
UACGUAGGGAGCAAGCGUUGUUCGGAUUUACUGGGCGUAAAGGGCGCGUAGGCGGCAACUCAAGUCAUCUGUGAAAUCUCCGGGCUUAACUCGGAACGGUCAGAUGAUACUGUUUUUGCUAGAGUGCAGAAGGGGCAAUCGGAAUUCUUGGUGUAGCGGUGAAAUGCGUAGAUAUCAAGAGGAACACCUGAGGUGAAGACGGGUUGCUGGGCAGUAACUGACGCUGAGGAGCGAAAGCGUGGGGAGCGAACAGG